UACGGAGGGUGCAAGCGUUAUCCGGAUUCACUGGGUUUAAAGGGUGCGUAGGUGGGCAGGUAAGUCAGUGGUGAAAUCUCCGGGCUUAACCCGGAAACUGCCAUUGAUACUAUAGGUCUUGAAUUUUCUGGAGGUUAGCGGAAUAUGUCAUGUAGCGGUGAAAUGCUUAGAUAUGACAUAGAACACCAAUUGCGAAGGCAGCUAACUACAGGGAUAUUGACACUGAGGCACGAAAGCGUGGGGAUCAAACAGG
rnacentral:rRNA from 1 species